rnacentral:rRNA from 1 species
GAUGAACGCUGGCGGCGUGCCUAAUACAUGCAAGUCGAGCGAACGGACGAGAAGCUUGCUUCUCUGAUGUUUGCGGCGGACGGGUGAGUAACACGUGGAUAACCUACCUAUAAGACUGGGAUAACUUCGGGAAACCGGAUCUAAUCCCGGAUAAUCUUUUGAACCGCAUGGUUCAAAAGUGAAAGACGGUCUUGCUGUCACUUAUCGAUGGAUCCGCGCUGCAUUAGCUAGUUGGUAAGGUAACGGCUUACCAAGGCAACGAUGCAUAGCCGACCUGAGAGGGUGAUCGGCCACACUGGAACUGGGACACGGUCCAGACUCCUACGGGAGGCAGCAGUAGGGAAUCUUCCGCAAUGGGCGAAAGCCUGACGGAGCAACGCCGCGUGAGUGAUGAAGGUCUUCGGAUCGUAAAACUCUGUUAUUAGGGAAGAACAGAUGUGUAAGUAACUGUGCACAUCGUGACGGUACCUAAUCAGAAAGCCACGGCUAACUACGUG